rnacentral:rRNA from 1 species
UACGGAGGGUGCAAGCGUUAUCCGGAUUCACUGGGUUUAAAGGGUGCGUAGGUGGGUUGGUAAGUCAGUGGUGAAAUCUCCGAGCUUAACUUGGAAACUGCCAUUGAUACUAUCAGUCUUGAAUAUUGUGGAGGUCAGCGGAAUAUGUCAUGUAGCGGUGAAAUGCUUAGAUAUGACAUAGAACACCAAUUGCGAAGGCAGCUGGCUACGCAUA